rnacentral:rRNA from 1 species
UACGGGGGGGGCAAGCGUUGUUCGGAAUUACUGGGCGUAAAGGGCUCGUAGGCGGCCAACUAAGUCAUACGUGAAAUCCCUCAGCUUAACUGGGGAACUGCGUGUGAUACUGGAUGGCUUGGAUUUGGGAGAGGGAUGCGGAAUUCCAGGUGUAGCGGUGAAAUGCGUAGAUAUCUGGAGGAACACCGGUGGCGAAGGCGGCAGCCUGGACCAAUAUUGACGCUGAGGAGCGAAAGCCAGGGGAGCAAACGGG